GAUGAACGCUGGCGGCGUGCCUAAUACAUGCAAGUCGAGCGAACAGACGAGGAGCUUGCUCCUCUGACGUUAGCGGCGGACGGGUGAGUAACACGUGGAUAACCUACCUAUAAGACUGGGAUAACUUCGGGAAACCGGAGCUAAUACCGGAUAAUAUAUUGAACCGCAUGGUUCACUAGUGAAAGACGGUUUUGCUGUCACUUAUAGAUGGAUCCGCGCCGCAUUAGCUAGUUGGUAAGGUAACGGCUUACCAAGGCAACGAUGCGUAGCCGACCUGAGAGGGUGAUCGGCCACACUGGAACUGAGACACGGUCCAGACUCCUACGGGAGGCAGCAGUAGGGAAUCUUCCGCAAUGGGCGAAAGCUUGACGGAGCAACGCCGCGUGAGUGAUGAAGGUCUUCGGAUCGUAAAACUCUGUUAUUAGGGAAGAACAAAUGUGUAAGUAACUAGGCACGUCUUGACGGUACCUAAUCAGAAAGCCACGGCUAACUACGUG
rnacentral:rRNA from 1 species